AACGCACAUUGCACUGCCUCGGCAGUAUGCCUGUUUGAGUAUCAGCAAACACCUCCCACACUCACUGGGGACUUGGCCUGUAGUCUAUUCGACUUCGGCCGAAAUGAAGUCAGAGGGCCACGGUAUCGUGCCACGACAGAGCUAGUCUGCUUCAGACGCACCUGUCCACGGCCGCGCUGUGUGCUUUACCUCUGUACCAAUACUCAUAACACUCAUGAUCUCAAAUCAGGCAAGAGUACCCGCUGAACUUAA
rnacentral:misc_RNA from 1 species